rnacentral:rRNA from 1 species
UUCCUACGGGACGCAGCAGUGGGGGAUAUUGCACAAUGGGGGAAACCCUGAUGCAGCGACGCCGCGUGGGCGAAGAAGUAUUUCGGUAUGUAAAGCCCUAUCAGCAGGGAAGAAGAAAUGACGGUACCUGAGUAAGAAGCACCGGCUAACUACGUGCCAGCAGCCGCGGUAAUACGUAGGUGGCAAGCGUUGUCCGGAUUUACUGGGUGUAAAGGGCGUGUAGCCGGGCUGACAAGUCAGAUGUGAAAUCCGGGGGCUCAACCCCCGAACUGCAUUUGAAACUGUUGGUCUUGAGUAUCGGAGAG